AAUUAAUAGAUUAUUAAUACGGUACAGGAAGAAAUCGACCAGGUGCUUAAUUAGUUUCCCCGUUAGUGCCUCAUAAUUGCUUUUUCACUCAUCUCGAUUUCUCUGUCACCGCGUGUGAGUGUUGUCGUCUGCGAUUGUCGUAGUAACAAAAUGGCGGACUGUAAACGUUCAGUGGCUGAGACGGGUAACCAGGUGAGAAAAACACAGGCACAAUGAUACUCCAGAAAUGAUCAAGAGAUCUUAAAGUGAUAGAGAAGAAAACAUCAUAGCUGCCAUUUCGGAAUCUUAGAAAAUAAUUUUUGAAGAAGAUUUUAUGGAAAUUCACAACACUGUGUUGAAGUUUGGGAGACAGUGACUGUAAUAAGAUAUUCAGCUGAGUGAGUGGAUAAUAUGGAGUGGACUAUUAUUGUACUGUCAGCCCUGGUUGGUUUAGCUACAGCUAAUGUUCCGCCGGGAAAGCCUACAAUCGACGGAUUUAAUAUCUCUGCUGUGGUCGGAACUGUAGUAUCACUGACGUGUACGACAGUCGGAGGGAUACCUAAUCCUACUCUUUGGUGGUACCAGAACGGCGUACAGGUGAAACAAGACUCAGUCUUAG